rnacentral:rRNA from 1 species
CCUACGGGUGGCAGCAGUGAGGACUAUUGGUCCAUGAGCGAGAGCCUGAACCAGCCAAGUCGCGUGACGGAUGAAGGAUCUAUGGUUUGUAACCUUCUUUUAUAUGGGAAUAAAGUGAGACACGUGUUCCUUUUUGUAUGUCCCAUAUUAAUAAGCAUCGUCUAACUCCGUGUUAGCAGCCCCGGUCAUACGGAGGAUGCGCGCGUUAUCCGGAAUUAUUGGGGUUAAAGGUGGUGUAGGUGGUUAAUUAAUUCAGCGGUAAAAGUUUGUUGAUCAAACAUAACAUUGCCGUGGACACUGGUUGACUUGAGUAUAUUUGAGGUAGGCGGAAUGCGUGGUGAAGCGGUGAAAUGCAUAGAUAUCACGCAGAACUCCGACUGCGAAGGCAGUUUACUAAACUAUCACUGACACUGUAGAACGAAAGCGUGGGGAUCAAACAGGAUUAGAUACCCCAGUAGUC